GAUGAACGCUGGCGGCGUGCCUAUACAUGCAAGUCGAGCGAACGGACGAGAAGCUUGCUUCUCUGAUGUUAGCGGCGGACGGGUGAGUAACACGUGGAUAACCUACCUAUAAGACUGGGAUAACUUCGGGAAACCGGAGCUAAUACCGGAUGAUAUUUUGAACCGCAUGGUUCAAAAGUGAAAGACGGUCUUGCUGUCACUUAUAGAUGGAUCCGCGCUGCAUUAGCUAGUUGGUAAGGUAACGGCUUACCAAGGCAACGAUGCAUAGCCGACCUGAGAGGGUGAUCGGCCACACUGGAACUGAGACACGGUCCAGACUCCUACGGGAGGCAGCAGUAGGGAAUCUUCCGCAAUGGGCGAAAGCCUGACGGAGCAACGCCGCGUGAGUGAUGAAGGUCUUCGGAUCGUAAAACUCUGUUAUUAGGGAAGAACAUAUGUGUAAGUAACUGUGCACAUCUUGACGGUACCUAAUCAGAAAGCCACGGCUAACUACGUG
rnacentral:rRNA from 1 species